rnacentral:rRNA from 1 species
GGAGCGGAGCGGACGACGUGUAAAGAGCGUCGGAGCUGCGACUCGCCUGAAAGGGAGCGAAGCUGGCCGAGCGAACUAGACUUUUUUUCAGGGGACGCUUGGCGGCCGAGAGCGAGUGUUGCGAGACAACAAAAAGCUCGACCUCAAAUCAGGUAGGAAUACCCGCUGAACUUAAGCAUAUCAAUAAGCGGAGGAAAAGAAACCAACAGGAUUGCCUCAGUAGCGGCGAGUGAAGCGGCAAGAGCUCAGAUUUGAAAUCGUGCUUUGCGGCACGAGUUGUAGAUUGCAGGUUGGAGUCUGUGUGGAAGGCGGUGUCCAAGUCCCUUGGAACAGGGCGCCCAGGAGGGUGAGAGCCCCGUGGGAUGCCGGCGGAAGCAGUGAGGCCCUUCUGACGAGUCGAGUUGUUUGGGAAUGCAGCUCCAAGCGGGUGGUAAAUUCCAUCUAAGGCUAAAUACUGGCGAGAGACCGAUAGCGAACAAGUACUGUGAAGGAAAGAUGAAAAGCACUUUGAAAAGAGAGUGAAACAGCACGUGAAAUUGUUGAAAGGGAAGGGUAUUGCGCCCGACAUGGGGAUUGCGCACCGCUGCCUCUCGUGGGCGGCGCUCUGGGCUUUCCCUGGGCCAGCAUCGGUUCUUGCUGCAGGAGAAGGGGUUCUGGAACGUGGCUCUUCGGAGUGUUAUAGCCAGGGCCAGAUGCUGCGUGCGGGGACCGAGGACUGCGGCCGUGUAGGUCACGGAUGCUGGCAGAACGGCGCAACACCGCCCGUCUUGAAACAUGGACCACGGAGUCUAACGUCUAUGCGAGUGUUUGGGUGUGAAACCCGUACGCGUAAUGAAAGUGAACGUAGGUCGGACCCCCUGCCCUCGGGGAGGGG